CCCAACACACACACACAACACUCCUCCCCUUCCUCCCCUUCCCCUUCACCUCAACUCCCCCUCCCCCCUUCACUAACGGCGACGGCGACAGCGAGCGGCGGCCUGGCGGCAGGCGGGCGGCGGCCUCCCCUCCAGCGGUGGCAGGGCCGCGGCCACCGAAGCGGCAGAGAUGGCGAGAUGGGAGGCAGCGGACGGCUGGCGGCCUCUCCUCCGCUGGAAAUGGCGGGAGGGGAGGCAGGGCGGCGGAGGCGUCCGGGAGGCGGCGCACGGCCGGGCGGACGGCAGCGGCGUGUUUUGUGAAUUUUUUUUAUUUUUGGAAUGAUUUGUAAAUUUUGUUGUAGAUUAUUUUAGAUUUGGGGAUAAUUUUGUGAAUUACUUGUGGAUUGCGGAUGAUUUUUUGGAUGGGCAAUUGUGGAUGAUUUGUGGGGAUUUGAGGGUGACGAUAAUCUUUAGUCCCGGAUUGGGUGUCCCGGUUUGCACCCGGGGCUAAAAGGUUGCAAAUCGGGAGUAAAAGAGCCAUUCCACGUUUGAUAAGUACUGCUAUUCCAUAGGAGAGCAAAGCGCUGAAGAGUUCAACCAGUUGAAAAAUCCUCGCACAUCUUGACUCUUCUUGUCUGGCGUUAUUUGACAUCAGUGGCUUCCCGGCACGCACGGUAAAACAGACAGGUUGUAUCGUUUGUUCGUGAGCUCGAUCACAAAGCAGGCCAGCUGCCUGCUGAACAAGCAUGUCGCCCACUCUGAGCAGCUUCCGUCUUCUUCUGAUUCGACUUGUUUUGGUGGCUCUUCUGAUAGGCAGCGGCCUCCCCAUGCUCUCGGCUCAGCAAGGCAGCCCAGGAGUCCGUGAGUAUCAUCUUUAUAUAUUAGCAAAACGAUUUUCAACAGAUUUAGCUUUGCCAGCCAAUAGAGUCUAGAGCUACUGCCCGCAGUGUUUUUGUUUCCCCGCCCUUGGAUUGCUGCUAAUAUUUUCUUUUUGACACCAUCGUUGCAGAUAAUCCGCAUGGUCCACCGCAGAUCCAUCAUACCCGUUUUAUCUAUCACGGUGAGGCAGGCACUGUCAUCGGGAACUAAUUAAACGCGUAGAUCGUGUUGUUACCUGUUCUGCUCUGUAUUAUACUCCUACUCCCUCAGUUGAAAUUCUAAUGCGUGAUUUGACUUUUGUUCUGUUGAUUAUUUCGGAAAAUUACUCCUUGGCUAUAUAAUUGCAAGGGCUCAACUCUGUUUUACCACAAAGUUAACUGCAAUUAUAAAUUUAGCAGAUAAUUGAGCAGUAUGUACAUUUAAUUUG
rnacentral:lncRNA from 1 species